rnacentral:rRNA from 1 species
CCGCGAAUUCGCCCUUGGAUCCAGACUUUGAUUCUGGCUCAGGACUGAACGUCUAGCUACAGGCUUAACACAUGCCAAGUCGAGGGGAAACGACAUCGUAAAGCUUGCUUUUGAUGGGCGUCGACCGGCGCACGGGUGAGUAACGCGUAUCCCACCUGCCCACGACUCGGGGCAUAACCUUGCGAAAGUAAGACUAAUACCCAAUGAUAUCUGCUAGAAGACAUCUGAAAGAGAUUAGAGAUUUAUCGGUGAUGGAUGGGGAUGCGUAUGAUUAGCUUGUUGGCGGGGUAACGGCCCACCAAGGCAACGAUCAGUAGGGGUUCUGAGAGGAAGGUCCCCCCACAUCGGAACUGAGACACGGUCCAAACUCCUACGGGAGGCAGCAGUGAGGAAUAUUGGUCAAUGGACGAGAGUCUGAACCAGCCAAGUAGCGUGCAGGAUGACGGCCCUAUGGGUUGUAAACUGCUUUUAUAAGGGAAUAAAGUGAGUCUCGUGAGACUUUUUGCAUGUACCUUAUGAAUAAGGACCGGCUAAUUCCGUGCCAGCAGCCGCGGUAAUACGGAAGGUCCGGGCGUUAUCCGGAUUUAUUGGGUUUAAAGGGAGCGUAGGCCGGAGAUUAAGCGUGUUGUGAAAUGUAGACGCUCAACGUCUGCACUGCAGCGCGAACUGGUUUCCUUGAGUACGCACAAAGUGGGCGGAAUUCGUGGUGUAGCGGUGAAAUGCUUAGAUAUCACGAAGAACUCCGAUUGCUGAAGGCAGCUCACUGGGAGCGCAACUGACUGCUGAAGCUCAGAAAGUGCGGGUAUCGAACAGGAUUAGAUACCCUGGUAGUCCGCACGGUCAAACGAUGGAUGGCCCGCUGUUGGUCUGCAAUACGGUCAGCGGUCCAAGCUGAAAGCAUUAAGCAUCCCACCUGGGGAGUACGUCCGGCAACGGUGAAACUCAAAUGAAUUGAUCGG